CCCUAGCUGCCGCCCGUAGCCGCCGCUCGCCUGCCCGCCGCCCGCCCGCCUCGGGCUUUCCUUGCGGGGCGGUAGGGAGAGCCGACCCGGAGGAAAAGAGGGAGCGGAUGCGGCCUCCGAGCGAAGACCAGCCCCGCGCGUCCUAAGCCGAGGCCCCUGAGCCGCCGCCGCAACCGCGAGGGACGAGGACGAGCUCGAAGCAGCGCCCACCGGGCCCCGGAUCGCGUGCCCCGGCCCGCCGCCCAGACACGGACGGCACGGUCCGCCCCAGCGCCGCGCGGUCUCAGCCCGGCCGGCGACCUCGGCGUCUCCGCAUUCCCCGCCGGCUCCGGCCCGGGACCCCGCGCUCCUCUCCGCCCCCACCGCCGUCCCCGCCGCCGCCGCCGCCGCCGCCGCCGGCGCCUCUGCCUCCCCCUCUACCCCCGCUGCGUCCGCGACCACAGCCCGGGCCUCGACCCCAGCCCCGACCCCGCCCGCGGCCCCGCCAACCUCGGCCGCGCCCCGGGCCCGGGCCCCGGCCCCGGCCCCGGCCCCGGCGGCCCAGCCGUGGGAACGAUGCUACCCAGCUCCAUCCAGAUUUCGGGGGAACCGUUGUCAGGUGCCGAGGUGCGGGACAUCUGCCGCGGCCUGCGCGACAACGCCGUGCGCCUGCUCUCACUGCGCGGCUGCCGUCUCUGCGACCGCGACUUCGGCCGCAUCUGCCGGGCCCUGGCGGGGGCCACAUCCCUGGCACAGCUCAACCUUAACCUGGGUGUCGUGUCCAGCCCCGGCCGCAUCAAGCAGCUGGCGGAGGCGCUGCGGACCAACCGCUCUAUCCAGUCCCUCUUCCUUCAUGGAAGCCCCCUGACAGAUGCGGGGCUGGCCUUGCUGAAUCCAGCCCUGGCCCUUCACCCUGCCCUGGUGGCUCUGGACCUGGGGGACUGCAUGCUGGGUGAUGAAGCCAUCAACCUCAUCUGUGGCCUCCUCCCCCCAGACGGGGCCAAGUCUGCUUCUUGCCCAGGCUUGAAGGAGCUGACGCUUAGCGCCAACCCUGGCAUCACCCCUAAGGGCUGGAGCCGCCUCGCCAUUGCCGUGGCCCACAGCUCCCAGGUCCGCGUCCUCAAUCUGGACUACAACCCCCUGGGUGACCACGUGGCAGGGAUGCUGGCUGUAGCUGUGGCCUCCAGCCGCACCUUAGAGGUCCUAGACUUGGAGGGCACAGGGCUCACCAAUCAGUCGGCUCAGACCCUGCUGGACAUGGUAGAAAAUUACCCCACAGCUUUGCGGAGUCUGGUGUUGGCUGAGAACAGCAUCAGCCCAGAGCUGCAGCAGCAGAUCUGUGACCUCCUCUCUGAGGGGGAGGAGGAGGAGGAGGUGGCAGGAGGAGCUGGCGACACGCAGGAACGAGAGAGAGGGCGGGAGCCUGCUGCCCACCAGAGGGGCAGCAGCUCCUGGAUGUGCCCCAGUGAUCCCAGCUCUCAGAUGGUGCUAAUGACGUCAGGACUUGGGGACAGUCUAUUGGCGGAGACUGAGAUGUGACUCCAUAUCAGCAUCUGAGCGUCAUUACAUUUGUCCCCAGCACUUUGUCCCGGAUACAGGGACCCAGGUUUCUGGGGUGACACCUUACAAAGGCCCUUUAAGGAUCAUAACUCAAGUAAAGAGCCUCCAAGGCUGGGCUGGACUGGAUCCUACCUCAAGGAGAGACUCAAGACCCGCCAAGUUUACUUGAGGUGCACCCUCUCCCACUGCCUGAUGCUCUGGGCCCAGGGAAGCCCCAGGCAGAGUGGGGUGGGGGGAGUCAUCAGCAAAGGUGAGGACAUGACUAGGACUGGGAACACUCAAGAAUGGCAGAAAGAAGAUCAUUAAUAGAUAAAUUAGGCCAUA